AGAACGAACGCUGGCGGCAGGCUUAACACAUGCAAGUCGAGCGCCCCGCAAGGGGAGCGGCAGACGGGUGAGUAACGCGUGGGAACAUACCCUCCGGUUCGGAAUAGCUCAGGGGAAACUUGGAUUAAUACCGGAUACGGCCUAGCGGCGAAAGAUUGAUCGCCGGAGGAUUGGCCCGCGUCUGAUUAGCUAGUUGGUGGGGUAAUGGCCCACCAAGGCGACGAUCAGUAGCUGGUCUGAGAGGAUGAUCAGCCACAUUGGGACUGAGACACGGCCCAAACUCCUACGGGAGGCAGCAGUGGGGAAUAUUGGACAAUGGGCGCAAGCCUGAUCCAGCCAUGCCGCGUGAGUGAUGACGGCCUUAGGGUUGUAAAGCUCUUUCGCUAGGGACGAUAAUGACGGUACCUAGACAAGAAGCCCCGGCUAACUCGUGCCAGCAGCCGC
rnacentral:rRNA from 1 species